UACGUAGGGUGCAAGCGUUAAUCGGAAUUACUGGGCGUAAAGCGUGCGCAGGCGGUUAUGUAAGACAGAUGUGAAAUGCCCGGGCUUAACCUGGGAACUGCAUUUGUGACUGCAUGGCUAGAGUUUGGCAGAGGGGGGGUAGAAUUCCACGUGUAGCAGUGAAAUGCGUAGAUAUUGGGAGGAACACCAGUGGCGAAGGCGGCUCACUGGACCGGUACUGACGCUGAUGCGCGAAAGCGUGGGGAGCAAACGGGG
rnacentral:rRNA from 1 species